rnacentral:misc_RNA from 1 species
GAAAUGCGAUAAGUAAUGUGAAUUGCAGAAUUCAGUGAAUCAUCGAAUCUUUGAACGCACCUUGCGUUCCUUGGUAUUCCUUGGAGCAUGCCUGUUUGAGUAUCAUGAAAUCUUCAAAGUAAAUCUUUUGUUAACUCAAUUGGUUUCUACUUUGGUAUUGAAGGUCUUUGCAGCUUCACACCUGCUCCUCUUUGUUCAUUAGCUGGAUCUCAGUGUUAUGCUUGGUUCCACUCGGCGUGAUAAGUUAUCUAUCGCUGAGGACACUGUAAAAGGUGGCCAAGGUAAAUGCAGAUGAACCGCUUCUAAUAGUCCAUUGACUUGGACAAUACUUUUAUGAUCUGAUCUCAAAUCAGGUAGGACUACCCGCUGAACUUAAGC